rnacentral:rRNA from 1 species
GACGAACGCUGGCGGCGUGCUUAACACAUGCCAGUCGAACGGAAAGGCCCUGCUUUUGUGGGGUGCUCGAGUGGCGAACGGGUGAGUAACACGUGAGUAACCUGCCCUUGACUUUGGGAUAACUUCAGGAAACUGGGCUAAUACCGGAUAGGAGCUCCUGCUGCCUGGUGGGGGUUGGAAAGUUUCGGCGGUUGGGGAUGGACUCGCGGCUUAUCAGCUUGUUGGUGGGGUAGUGGCUUACCAAGGCUUUGACGGGUAGCCGGCCUGAGAGGGUGACCGGCCACAUUGGGACUGAGAUACGGCCCAGACUCCUACGGGAGGCAGCAGUGGGGAAUAUUGCACAAUGGGCGGAAGCCUGAUGCAGCAACGCCGCGUGCGGGAUGACGGCCUUCGGGUUGUAAACCGCUUUCGCCUGUGACGAAGCGUGAGUGACGGUAAUGGGUAAAGAAGCACCGGCUAACUACGUG